AGACCAAGAGGACAAAGAGAAACAAAGUGGAGCAGAUCACUGAUACAGAUGCAGGUCCCUCUACAUCUGUGGAAUUCUCUGAGAUGGCAGUUCAGGGGACAUCUCACCAGGGACAAUCUAAUGAAAAGAUCCUAAGUGAGUGUGUCUCCGGGGCCUGUCAGACCAGGGCUCUUGACCUCCCGCCAAUCAAUCUGGAUGCUUUCAACCCGAUUAUCAUCCGGUUUCUGGAAAAACUUACUGAGGAGUAUGUCCAAACUUCUAUUGUAGUAUUUGAAUGCAAUGUCACCUGGAGGAUUUUAUAAAUUGUAUGUGUGUU